rnacentral:ncRNA from 1 species
ACCAAGGAGUCUAACAUGUGCGCGAGCCGCGGGGCAGUACGAAACCCGUAAGGCGAAAUGAAGGUGAACGCCGGCGCGGUCCGGCGGAGGUUGGAUCCCGUCCCGUCGGGGCGGGCGCACUACCGGCCGAUCUUCUCCGCCCUGUCGGCGAGGUCGAGCGAGAGCGUGCAAGUCGGGACCCGAAAGAUGGUGAACUAUGCCUGAGGAGGUUGAAGCCAGAGGAAACUCUGGUGGAGGACCGUAGCGAUUCUGACGUGCAAAUCGAUCGUCAAAUU